rnacentral:lncRNA from 1 species
CUAAAACACGCGAAUCUCCCUAUACUCGGGUCGGGUCACACGGGUCAGGGGCCAAAACGGCGUCGUUUUGAGCCCCUGAACCCACACAUCAAACGACGUCGUUUGCUUCUUCACAAAAACCCCUAAAAUUUCUUCUAUUGCUUCAUUUUCAGCCAACUUUAAGAAAGUUUCAGGAACUUUCUUCUCUCUACCAGGGUUUCAAACCCUUUCUAGUGCCACUGUCGGUCCUGCCCUCCUCCACCGUUGACGGCGGUCAUGGCAACAACAGACGGCUUUCCAGGUGAGCUCCUUCCCCUCCUCUUUUAUUUAUUUCAAGCCCCUUUUUUUUAUUUAAAACGUGUUUUGUAAAAUAAAUAGAGUAAAAACAAAUAGAAAAACCGAAAAUUCCAAACCCAAAAAAUAAGAGCAAAAACCUUUUGAACUUCUUUUCUUUCUUCGGAUUUCUGCCAAAAAUCGUUUGAUACAACCUUUUUGUAUUAUUUCUUCUUUGAUUGCUGGUGUUUGUGUGUAAAUACAAUUUUUUUUGUAUCCCCAAAAUUCCCCUUCUCAAAUACAAUCGGCCCCCAUUUCGUUCGAUUUCCUUUUCGACUUUAUAGCCGAUUACAAAAGAAAUAUUUUUUUGAUCUCUGCUAUUGCCUGCUGCUUCUGCUCUGUUUUGCUUCUCUUUUGCGUGCUUUUUGCUCUCUGUUUGUUUUGCAGGUGAUGGUAUGAUGGGACGGAGGCAGUGCAAGUGGAGGCAAGUGGCCCUAGGGUUUGCUGCUUCUUUUUUUUCUGUUGGUGGUCUUUGGGGUUAGUUUUGGGCUUGGGUAUAUUGGGCUGAUUUAGGCCCGGUCAAAUUUGGACCGGUACACUUUUAUUUUAGCCAUCCAACCAGUAAAUCUCUAACAUCAAUUAAUUAGUACAUGUCACAUAAUGUUCACAUUUUCAUUUUGGUCACUCAAAAAAUAUCUUUUUUUUUAAUAUUGAUCAGGGUAAAAAAAAAUUAAAGAUUAAAAUAAAAAAAGUAGAAACUAAAAUAAUUAUUUAAAAUUUUCAAAUUGUACUUGUUUACCUCACCGAAAAUUCUAAUUUUUUUUCAAUAUUGAAAUUUUAAAUUUUAGAACUUCAAAAUCAAUUAAAUAAGUUAUUAAAAUUUUUGUAUGAUAGUAUCAACCAAUUUGUUACUAUAAUAUUAAAAUUAAUUAAUUUAGUCACCUUUUGAAUAUUAAAAUUUUAUUUUAUGUUUCCAAAUUAAAAUAAACUCAAAUAAAUCAUCUUUAAUAAUUGUAUAUAGAACCCAAAUUUCUUUUUAUCAUAUGAUCUUAAAUCUUUCAUACUAAGCUAAAAGCAAAGCAAAAUCCUUAUAAUUAAUUUUAUCUUCCAUGUCAAACAAAAUUCAAAAUUUUUUCAUCAUUUCUUUACCCAAACGAAGAAUAAGCAAUUAAUUAAAUUAAUCAAAAUAAAUUUAAGUUUUACAGAAAAUUAUUAAAUAUGAGUUAUCGAGUUGAUUUCAUUAAAAAUAAUAGGGAAACAUAAAAUAAAAUUUUAAAAUUUAGGAGAUUAAUUUAAUUAAUUUCAAUAUUUUAAAGUAAAAAAUCGAUUAACAUUAUCAAGGGAUAAAAAAUUUUCAAUAAUUUAUUUAAUUGAUUUUUAUGUUUUGAAAUUUAAAUUUUUAAUAUUGAAAAUGUUAGAAUUUUCAGCAAUGUGAUAAACAAGUACAAUUUGACAAUUUUUGAUGCAUGAUUUUAGUUUAAUACAAUGAUUGAAUGGCUAAAAUUAAAGCGCCUUAAAAGUUGAGUGAUGAAAUUGCAUAGAUUUUAUUUUGAGAGACAAAAAUGAAAGCGCUCUAAAAGUUGGGUGACCAACUACAAUAAGUAGUUUACCCCGAAAAAUAAACUACAAAAAUAUUAACUAAACUAUACACUUGGUUUUAUUAUCGUCACUUAACUAUUACAAUCAUUCAACUUUUCAAAAUUAAAUAUUUUAGUGACGCUCCCUUAGUUGUUAUUAUCUAUUUAGGCUUUCUUAUUAUUAUAGUAACAAGUUUAACACUCCAAUAUUUGUAUAUUUUAUCUAUUUAAUCCUCAAUCUAAAAAGUUUAAUAAAUUUAAUCUUUAAUGUUUACAAAAUUUAUUAUUUUAAUUGACGUUCCAAAAGCUUAAUCACAACAACAUGAAUUCGCAAGUUGGAGCUAAUAUUUAGUUCGCACAUGGAACUCUCAUAUUUGAGAUACUUUUUUUUGUAAGUAACUCAGCAUGAGGGAACUAGUAUUUAGGUCAGAGCUGGCAUUUUUUAGAGGUUUUUUUUCUUUUUGGUAGCUAAUAUUUAUGCAAGAUGGAGCUAGCCAUCCCUAUUGAGAAAUUGAUGAAAGGCUUCCUAUGGGAUGAAUUGUUGGCCAUUGAAGCUACGGCCAAUGGUCUUGCCAAAAAUGCCAAUAUAUAAUACCUUGGAAUGAAUUAUUUGAUGCCAAUUUUAGAUGAAUGAGUAAAAGAAAUUGACCUAGUUCAAAUCUAAAACUCACCGUAAAUCCAGGAGUGAUCUCAAUUUUGGGGUGCGUUCAUUGGGAGGAGCCAUGACUAAUUUUUAGAGAUCCGAGUUAGUCCAAACUCAUUGCACCAAUAGUUUGGAAGAGAGCCAUAAGACCAAAUGGUGUUAGAAGUAUGGUGGAAGAAAGGGAGAAGCUGCUCUCCUCUGGGAGAAGAAGAUAGAAGAAGUGUAAGAAGAUUCUCUAUUUUUGUGGCCUUUCAAGGGCAUGUACAGGGUAUAGGGGACCUUUUGGUGGGCUCACACCAUGAUACCCUGCGAUGUAUAGGCUGGCUAUAAGAAAUGGGGGAUGUGAUAGAUGGGA